GACGAACGCUGGCGGCGUGCUUAACACAUGCAAGUCGAACGGAAAGGCCCUGCUUUUGUGGGGUGCUCGAGUGGCGAACGGGUGAGUAAAACGUGAGUAACCUGCCCUUGACUUUGGGAUAACUUCAGGAAACUGGGGAUAAUACCGGAUAGGAGCUCCUGAUGCAUGGGGGUGGUUGGAAAGAUUCGGCGGUUGGGGAUGGAAUCGCGGCUUAUCAGCUUGUUGGUGGGGUAGUGGCUUACCAAGGCUUUGACGGGUAGCCGGCCUGAGAGGGUGACCGGCCACAUUGGGCCUGAGAUACGGCCCAGACUCCUACGGGAGGCAGCAGUGGGGAAUAUUGCACAAUGGGCGGAAGCCUGAUGCAGCAGCGCCGCGUGCGGGAUGACGGCCUUCGGGUUGUAAACCGCUUUCGCCUGUGACGAAGCGUGAGUGACGGUAAUGGGUAAAGAAGCACCGGCUAACUACGUG
rnacentral:rRNA from 1 species